ACCAGGCUGGAAUUACCCUCACCAGCUUCACCUGGCCCUCUGCCUAGAGCUGCAGCCCAUCAGACACACAAGGUUCUUUAGGCUCCAGCCUGAAGGUUUGGGUUUGGGAAGAACUGGUUUGAGGAUAUCUGCUGCCUGUUCUUUGCUGCGUUAUUGUUUGGAUUUCCUGGGCUGACUUGGCUGAGGAUCACUGGAUGAGUUUUGUUGCUGUCAUCAUCCUGGAUUGGGAGCCCCACCUGUGAGGUCUUUCCAACUGAUGAAUUUCAGUACUGUGCAGUUUGCAGGCUCCAAGAGAUCCAUACUGAAGACACCAGCAACUCACAUAAAUUGUCCAGUAAACCAGACCAAACACAGACAGAGAAACUAAGGCAAAGGUGAUAAGUGAGAAAGCUUAGAUGCUGAAGGCCUUUGGAAGAGGGAAACCCCCCCAGCUGCUGAAGUGGUGGAACACCAUCUCCAGAGGAAGCUCUGUCACAAAGUCUGGGGCUGCAAUUGUUGUCUGGCACCUUGUCCAUCUGGUGUUCAACUGCUGCAUUCACCUUUCCAAAGGCAGCAGGAUGUGCCCCUUUGCAAAUGAAGAAGGAAAAAAAAAAAGGACAGAAGGGAGCUCGUGGUCCCCAAGGAGGACACAUCUCUGACCUGUAACAAGAGGCCAGGAGCCAACAGGGCCUGAGAGUAUCCAGUCACAGAUGAUGGGCUGCUGCCGUUCCAGACAUCUCUCAAAUGGUCAGUGGGAUGAUGAGACAAGCACCUGCUUAUUUGCAGUCUGUAUAAUCUGUACCACGGUUGCAGAUGGUGCCCUGCACAGCUCUGUGAGCAGGGAACCAGGAGCUGUGAACUUUGACAUGAAUGUCUCCAGUUUGUGGGGUGUCAUGUCCAUGGCAAUCCAGCAUUUUGAGGACAAUGUUUAUACGACGUUGUUCAUCCCUGUGAAAAUGGCUGAAAUCAAACCUGGUGCAUUUGCUGUGGCUGAAAUACUGAUGUCCAUUCCACGUAGUAAAGGAAAAAAAAAAAAAAUCAUGGUUAAAACUCGCUUGUUGAAUUGUCACAGUUGCUUUUGAGAGUCUCACAGAGCAGAGAAUUUUGUAUUUUAGAGAGACAUGUUCUGCUGGACUUCCCUAGCCUUAGAAAUUCCUGGAAGUGCGCAGCAGUUGCCAUGUGACAAACGCUGUGAGCUGGUCAGUAUGAACAGGUGAUGGUAGGAAAGUGUCCAUAUGUCCGGGAAUUCACUGCUGCCUUCAGAGAUCCAUAAUCCUGCACAAACUUCUUUUCCUCAGGGACUUGAGUCCAUCUCAGAGGAUGGGAGUGAGGACAGAUUUUGUGGUCAUAAAAAAGGGAAGACGUUUAAACAAACCCCCCACCUUUAACUCAGCCAAAGGGAACUUUUUCUGUGCUGCCUCUGUUAGUAUCGAAAUCACUAAUGCUCAGGUGCAGGAAGGUGUCCCUUUCUCUGGUCAUUUAGGAGCUGUGAAUUCUCUGGGUCUGUGCUUGUAGUUCAGAGGUUUGGACUAUUCACUGGCCAUAACCAGCUGUAAAAUGCCAUAAAUGGAACAGUAUCAUGACUGGAGCUACCCAGUGUCCUUCAGAGGACUCUGGCUCUGUCAGUUCCACUGUCCUGAUGGGAGUUCUAAAGAGCAGUGCCAGCUCCCGUGGAUGGCGGGGUCUUGGUCAGUAAAUCACACGGU